rnacentral:rRNA from 1 species
GAUGAACGCUGGCGGCGUGCUUAACACAUGCAAGUCGAACGAUGAUGCCCAGCUUGCUGGGUGGAUUAGUGGCGAACGGGUGAGUAACACGUGAGUAACCUGUCCUUGACUCUGGGGUAAGCCUUGGAAACUGGGUCUCAUACCGGAUAUGACCAUCUCGCCCACGUGAUGGUGGUGGAAAGCUUUUGUGGUUUUGGAUGGACUCGCGGCCUAUCAGCUUGUUGGUGGGGUAAUGGCCUACCAAGGCCACGACGGGUAGCCGGCCUGAGAGGGUGACCGGCCACACUGGGACUGAGACACGGCCCAGACUCCUACGGGAGGCAGCAGUGGGGAAUAUUGCACAAUGGGCGCAAGCCUGAUGCAGCGACGCCGCGUGAGGGAUGACGGCCUUCGGGUUGUAAACCGCUUUCAGUAGGGAAGAAGCGAAAGUGACGGUACCUGGAGAAGAAGCGCCGGCUAACUACGUG